rnacentral:misc_RNA from 1 species
GAUGAAGAACGUAGCGAAAUGCGAUAAGUAAUGUGAAUUGCAGAAUUCAGUGAAUCAUCGAAUCUUUGAACGCACAUUGCGCCCGCCAGUAUUCUGGCGGGCAUGCCUGUUCGAGCGUCAUUUCAACCCUCAAGACCCCUUCGGGGGACUUGGUGUUGGGGACCGGCACAGGGGCCUGCCUGCUUGUCUUGCAGCGCCCUCGCCGCCCCCGAAAUGAAUUGGCGGCCUCGUCGCGGCCUCCCCUGCGUAGUAGCACAACCUCGCAACGGGAACGUGACGGCGGCCACUGCCGAAAAACAACCCCAAUUUUAUUAGAGUUGACCUCGAAUCAGGUAGGAAUACCCGCUGAACUUAAGCAUAUCAAUAAGCGGAGGA